AGCAGCCGCGGUAAUUCCAGCUCCAAUAGCGUAUAUUAAAGUUGUUGCAGUUAAAAAGCUCGUAGUUGAAUUUCGGGAUUCUUCCGUUGGUCGGGCUAUCCAGUCUGUACUAGCGUGUAGAAUUCCUACCUUCUGGGGAACCAUCAUGUUAUUAAUUUAGCGUGGUGGGAAACCAGAACCUUUACCUUGAAAAAAUUAGAGUGUUCAAAGCAGGCUUACGUCUGAAUACAUUAGCAUGGAAUAAUAGAAUAGGACGGUGGUCCUGUUUUGUUGGUUUCUGAAUCACCGUAAUGAUUAAUAGGGAUAGUUGGGGGCAUUAGUAUUCAAUUGUCAGAGGUGAAAUUCUUGGAUUUAUUGAAGACUAACUUCUGCGAAAGCAUUUGCCAAGGAUGUUUUCAUUAAUCAAGAACGAAAGUUAGGGGAUCGAAGACGAUCAGAUACCGUCGUAGUCUUAACCAUAAACUAUGCCGACUAGGGAUCGGACGAUGUUAAAUUUUAUCGACUCGUUCGGCGCCUUACG
rnacentral:rRNA from 1 species